AGAGUUUGAUCCUGGCUCAGGAUGAACGCUGGCGGCGUGCCUAAUACAUGCAAGUCGAACGCUUUGUGGUUCAACUGAUUUGAAGAGCUUGCUCAGAUAUGACGAUGGACAUUGCAAAGAGUGGCGAACGGGUGAGUAACACGUGGGAAACCUACCUCUUAGCAGGGGAUAACAUUUGGAAACAGAUGCUAAUACCGUAUAACAAUGACAACCGCAUGGUUGUUAUUUAAAAGAUGGUUCUGCUAUCACUAAGAGAUGGUCCCGCGGUGCAUUAGCUAGUUGGUAAGGUAAUGGCUUACCAAGGCGAUGAUGCAUAGCCGAGUUGAGAGACUGAUCGGCCACAAUGGGACUGAGACACGGCCCAUACUCCUACGGGAGGCAGCAGUAGGGAAUCUUCCACAAUGGGCGAAAGCCUGAUGGAGCAACGCCGCGUGUGUGAUGAAGGGUUUCGGCUCGUAAAACACUGUUGUAAGAGAAGAAUGACAUUGAGAGUAACUGUUCAAUGUGUGACGGUAUCUUACCAGAAAGGAACGGCUAAAUACGUGCCAGCAGCCGCGGUAAUACGUAUGUUCCAAGCGUUAUCCGGAUUUAUUGGGCGUAAAGCGAGCGCAGACGGUUAUUUAAGUCUGAAGUGAAAGCCCUCAGCUCAACUGAGGAAUUGCUUUGGAAACUGGAUGACUUGAGUGCAGUAGAGGAAAGUGGAACUCCAUGUGUAGCGGUGAAAUGCGUAGAUAUAUGGAAGAACACCAGUGGCGAAGGCGGCUUUCUGGACUGUAACUGACGUUGAGGCUCGAAAGUGUGGGUAGCAAACAGGAUUAGAUACCCUGGUAGUCCACACCGUAAACGAUGAGUGCUAGGUGUUUGAGGGUUUCCGCCCUUAAGUGCCGCAGCUAACGCAUUAAGCACUCCGCCUGGGGAGUACGACCGCAAGGUUGAAACUCAAAGGAAUUGACGGGGACCCGCACAAGCGGUGGAGCAUGUGGUUUAAUUCGAAGCAACGCGAAGAACCUUACCAGGUCUUGACAUCCCUUGACAACUCCAGAGAUGGAGCGUUCCCUUCGGGGACAAGGUGACAGGUGGUGCAUGGUUGUCGUCAGCUCGUGUCGUGAGAUGUUGGGUUAAGUCCCGCAACGAGCGCAACCCUUAUUACUAGUUGCCAGCAUUCAGUUGGGCACUCUAGUGAGACUGCCGGUGACAAACCGGAGGAAGGUGGGGAUGACGUCAAAUCAUCAUGCCCCUUAUGACCUGGGCUACACACGUGCUACAAUGGCGUAUACAACGAGUUGCCAACCCGCGAGGGUGAGCUAAUCUCUUAAAGUACGUCUCAGUUCGGAUUGUAGGCUGCAACUCGCCUACAUGAAGUCGGAAUCGCUAGUAAUCGCGGAUCAGCACGCCGCGGUGAAUACGUUCCCGGGUCUUGUACACACCGCCCGUCACACCAUGAGAGUUUGUAACACCCAAAGCCGGUGGGGUAACCUUCGGGAGCCAGCCGUCUAAGGUGGGACAGAUGAUUAGGGUGAAGUCGUAACAAGGUAGCCGUAGGAGAACCUGCGGCUG
rnacentral:rRNA from 3 species